GACGGAGGGUGCAAGCGUUAUUCGGAAUUAUUGGGCGUAAAGAGUGUGUAGGCGGCCGGUUAAGUCAGGCGUGAAAGCGCAGGGCUCAACCCUGGAGGUGCGUUUGAAACUGGCUGGCUUGAGUUCGGGAGAGGGAAGCGGAAUUCCGGGUGUAGAGGUGAAAUUCGUAGAUAUCCGGAGGAACAUCGGUGGCGUAGGCGGCUUCCUGGACCGAAACUGACGCUGAGACACGAAAGCGUGAGGAGCAAACAGG
rnacentral:rRNA from 1 species